UCCGGGUUGGUCCCGGCGGUCCGAGCAGACCUAGUAACUGCUCGCGGGGGUUGCGCUCGUUGCGGGACUUAACCCAACACCUCACGGCACGAGCUGACGACAGCCGUGCAGCACCUGUGCAUGCUCCCUCGCGGGUCCCUCGCCUCUCGGCUCGGUACCACAUGCAUGUCAAGCCCGGGUAAGGUUCUUCGCGUUGCAUCGAAUUAAACCACACGCUCCGCUGCUUGUGCGGGCCCCCGUCAAUUCCUUUGAGUUUUAGCCUUGCGGCCGUACUCCCCAGGCGGGGUGCUUACUGCGUUGGCUGCGGCACCGCGGGGGUCGAUACCCGCGACACCUAGCACCCAUCGUUUACGGCGUGGACUAC
rnacentral:misc_RNA from 1 species